rnacentral:rRNA from 1 species
GACGUAGGGUGCGAGCGUUGUCCGGAUUUAUUGGGCGUAAAGAGCUCGUAGGCGGCUUGUCGCGUCGAAUGUGAAAUCUCAGGGCUCAACUCUGACAUUGCAUUCGAUACGGGCAGGCUCGAGUUCGGUAGGGGAGACUGGAAUUCCUGGUGUAGCGGUGAAAUGCGCAGAUAUCAGGAGGAACACCGGUGGUGAAGGCGGGUCUCUGGGCCGAUACUGACGCUGAGGAGCGAAAGCGUGGGGAGCGAACAGG